GAUGAACGCUGGCGGCGUGCCUAAUACAUGCAGGUCGAGCGAACAGAUAAGGAGCUUGCUCCUUUGACGUUAGCGGCGGACGGGUGAGUAACACGUGGGUAACCUACCUAUAAGACUGGGAUAACUUCGGGAAACCGGAGCUAAUACCGGAUAACAUUUGGAACCGCAUGGUUCUAAAGUGAAAGAUGGUUUUGCUAUCACUUAUAGAUGGACCCGCGCCGUAUUAGCUAGUUGGUAAGGUAACGGCCUACCAAGGCAACGAUACGUAGCCGACCUGAGAGGGUGAUCGGCCACACUGGAACUGAGACACGGUCCAGACUCCUACGGGAGGCAGCAGUAGGGAAUCUUCCGCAAUGGGCGAAAGCCUGACGGAGCAACGCCGCGUGAGUGAUGAAGGGUUUCGGCUCGUAAAACUCUGUUAUUAGGGAAGAACAAACGUGUAAGUAACUGUGCACGUCUUGACGGUACCUAAUCAGAAAGCCACGGCUAACUACGUG
rnacentral:rRNA from 1 species